CGCUGCCCAAAUGUUCACGCAAAGAAGUAACUUUAUUGCUGCCACCGCCGCAGCCAUGUUGUGAAGACGCUGUGUGUUUGGUUGCCAAACGCGAACAUACUUUGUUUGGACUU